UGACACUCUAAGGUACAAACUCAAAAAAAUUGAAAAGCACACUCUCUGAAAUACUUAUGAAUAUUCAUAGUGACAUUAUUCAUAAUAGCUAGCCCUACACGCUGGCCUUCUCUGGAGUACAUCGCCCUGCUCUGCUCAGGAGCCAAGCUCAGGAGACUCGUGAUCACUGCCCUUUGCUAGAAUCCAGGAGAGUCAGUUCCAAGAGGCAGAGAAGCCGCUGGGAAGAGGUGAGAGUCGGGAACAGAGCAGUGGCCUCUCCUGUUCACGUCAGAUCUGCGCCAGGAAAUGCGAUGGAGGGUCUGGCCUGGACUCCCUCCUCCUUCCUCCUUUCUGCCUCCUGAGGACACUGGUGCUUCCUUGUAUGGCCCUGCGUGGCAUGGAGACCCCUGCUCUGAAAGCCUAAGUAAUAAAGAUCCCCCAUGUUC